CUUAUUUAUUUAUUUAUUUAUUUGAGCCAGUUGGCUGCAACAAGUGUUUGCAAGACUCCUUAAGUUGGUUAUUGCUUUGGGUUAUUUUCACCAUGGCCUUCUCCUCCACCCAUCUUUCUUUUACCCCUCUUACGUGGGAUCAAUAAAGGUUUAGACCAAAAAUAUUAUGCAUAGGCUACCAUUUUAUUAGCUAUUUACCUAAGCCAAUUUUAUAUUCUACGAUGAUGGGUUUCCUGCUGACAUGCCUGAAACUUUUUGCUUCUGAACAUUCUGUGCUUUUCUCAUUUAUGUUAUGUGUCUUGUAGAGCUUACUAGAAUUGACAAUUGCUAAUUGAAAUAAUUCUCUACAAAAUUUUUCCUGCUAACUAUAUUUGAA
rnacentral:misc_RNA from 1 species